rnacentral:misc_RNA from 1 species
UUGACUCAUUGUGUAUUUAUACUCAGAUAACCAAAAAAACGAGUUUUAUGAUGCCGUCGGCAGGCGCCUAAAUGAAGGCUACAGGCCCCGCCCUGGGGCCGCCUGCCUAAGCAACGAUCAGGUAGCAUUAACAAAGGGUUGAGGGAGUUUUGCAACUCUGUAAUGAUCCCUCCGCUGGUUCACCAACGGAGA